AUGGCGGAUGCACCUCUUUACAAGCAGCGCCGCAGGUACACCAGGGAGCUCCACGACGUCGACCUCCACGACAACCACAAGCUCCACGUCAUUUGCACAAGCAAGGGUGAAGACGUGGACAAGAUGCUGUCCAUGCUCAGGAGGAAGCUCGGCGGAAUGCCCGUCAAACUAGUCGGCGUUGAUGUCGAGUACACGCACUACAUGAAGCCACAGCCAAUGGAACUAGACAAAUUCCUCAUGAAUGGUGAGUACACCGUCGUCAGAUUCGCCAUUGAAGGAGACAAAAGCAAACUGAAGCUAUAUGGUUUGGAGAUCAACUCCGACAACUACAUUGAUAUUUAG
rnacentral:rRNA from 1 species